GAUGGCUUUCUCAUCCAACCCGGCCACCCUUCCCACUUCACUCAACCACUGUCCUGUUUUCUGCUCCAGGCUGAAAAGUAACCUCAUUAUCUCUUAAAAGGUCAGCCCAAAGAAGAUUUGAACUCUGUCUGAAAACCUGGGAGUUCUAUUUCUUCACUGAGGCAGGAAGAGAACUGAUGAGAUAGAAGUUGCAGAUGACCAAGUUUACUGAAAAUGGGUGCUGUGAGUGAAAGAAAGAGGAAUGGAUUAAAUUUAAAAUGACACUACUUCAGCCAUCUCAGCAUCUGGGUUGGUGGACAAAACUAGAGGACUGGCGUUUCUGGGGGCACGUGUCAGGAAGCACUGAUCUGGUGACUUUUGGAGGAAAAAGCUGGCUUAUUCGGGUCCAGUCAUCAUGGUCCAUUUACUGUUUUGUAGUACCUCCAGAAUUGUCUCUCUUUUCUAUCUAUUUCUCCCAAAAAUAGGAUUUCUCCUCUUUACAAAUGUCACAGAAGGAAGCUCUAAAGAGUGAUUUCCAGCAUCCAUACAAGUGAAAAGUUCAGCUCCCAAGAGGAGCAGACAACGUCCGCAAAGCAAACCAAGCAAGACCCAUGGGGCCAAGGCAUUAAGUGGUUUCUCAGGGUGGUGGAAUGUGGCUGCUUCCCUGCUUCUCCCAGAGAAGCUUUAAAUGUGUAGGUAACUUCCCAGACCACCAGAAGGCACCAACAUGGGAAAAACAGAUCCAGUCACUGGCCCAGAGAGUCAGAAAUCAGCCCAUCCAGGUGACCCCGCUUAGGCUCCUGUUCAUGCACUUGUCAAAGGCCAGCCCAGCCCAAGGAGGGGGAAAGAAUUAGACAGAGGAUCAGCUUUUUAUUUUCAUGUACAAAGCACUUGCCCUCGGGUUAUAAAUGUUAUUGCAUUUGUGUAGCACUUUACUGCUGCCCUCAGCUUGCAAGCAUCACAGGAUCCCAGUGGCAGUACUUUCUUAACCCUUGAUCAAUAGCUUAUUUCUAUCGCCUUCAGUCCCAGCUGCCAAUCCGUUCUGUAAAAUGUGGGAGGCAGACUUCGCUGCUCUCCAGCUGUACAUGUUAUGAAUGUAAACGGUGCAAGUAACAUAUGUAUUAUACGUAUGUGUGUGUGUGUACUGAGUGGGGGACAUGAGAUUUUUGAACAAGGAGUAACAAAAAUGGGACCCUUGUUCUGGGAGACUCCCAUACAGCUGGGAGUUUUCUUUCUAGUUUCUCCUUUUCUCUCUUUCUCUCUCUCUGAAACGAUGUGCUUGGUAUUCUGUCAUGUGGCAGGAGAAAUUCUCUCUUAAGUUUCUGUGUUUUUAUUUGAUAUAUAUUUGGGGGAAGGGGUGAAAAGUGGACAGAAAGAUCUAAGUUCCAAGAAAGAAAGGGUCAUGUCCAUCUUAUUUAUCACCCCUGUAGUCCCAGCACCUACACUGAGCCUAGCACAGAACAGGUGCUCAGGAAGUAUUUGUUGACUAAAUGAAUGAAUUCAGGAAUGGGAGGAUAAGAGGGCCCCAGAGCAAUCCUCUGGAGCUGCCUGAGCAAAGAGGCAAAGGCCUUGUCUUGCUGGCAGCAAGGGGGACCACAAAAGGUUUAAUGGGCAUCUACUUUAUUUAUUUUAUUUUUAUUUUUUGAGAUGGAGUCUUGCUCUGUCUCCAGGCUGGAGUGCAGUGGCGUGAUUUCGGCUCACUGCAACCUCC
rnacentral:lncRNA from 10 species